ACCAUUUGGUUUUGCAAUUAAAAACAGGUUUGACUUCCUUCUGCAACAGUAAGACAACGUCAAAGCAACAAUCAUCCCGAAAAUUUUCCCUUGUGAAUUCAAAUGAACUGUAACACCAAAGGAUGGUUCAUUACGUUGCCCCAUUGCAGAGAUCCAGAGUGCUCAUGGACAGGGCCAGAAAGUCUGAGUGGAUGUGCCCUACUGAGAGCCAGCCUUGACUUUAAGAGCAAAGAUGUGCUUUCUCGGAGAUCUAGGGCUCUUGCUUUUAUAUUCGACAAGUUGUUUUCAACACUUCAGUCUUUUCAGCUGUUGGGAGAAGGACUGUAAGAUUCCUGCCAACUCUACACAAGAAAUAUUACAGAAGUGCUCAUCACCAAAACAAAUGACUGAUGUGACUGUUGACCUAUGAGUGUCAAAAUUAACUUACCACAAGAGAGAAAAACGUCUUUAAUAUGUUUAAAACAUGUUCUGAAAGGGGACAGAAAGGAUGGAGCCCGAGCACCUAAUAUUGUCAUUUCACUGUCACACAGCCUGUGCCCACAGCAUGAAUUUUCCUAGGAAAUGUCACUCUGAUGCCUUCUAUGUAGAAGAAACUUGAAUUGUCAAAUACUCACCAAACUAGCACAGUCUUCCAAAAACCAGGAAGACCUGGAACCAAACAGAAAAUGAAUAUUCAGCCAAGCAUGAAACUUUCAAAGAAAAUAAACUGCAUCUAUCCCUAUUAAACUCUUUGUUCAUUCUAAAUAAAAACAAUUUAAUUAAUUCACUUAGGCAAUUCCACACCAAAUAUCUAGUAAUUGAGGGAAACCUACAUAUGAGAAAAGAGGGAGUAAACAGUUAAGGACAGUGGCCUGAAAAACCUGUAAAGUUGAUUCCAUUCAAUUUUAAUUGUAUACAGAUAGUCACUGCCUCAGCCACAAUAUCAGAUGGCGUGGUCUGUGUUUUAGAUAUUCUUUUGUUCCAGCAUGACUAUCUACAUAACAUCAGAAUUGCCAUCUGAUUGAGCAACUACAACUGCCACAGAGAGAUUUCUUUUUAUCUUACUUUAGUAACAAUACUCUGUGUGUGUGUGUGUGUGUGUGUGUGUGUGUGUGUGUGUGUGUAAUAUGGGGUAAUGACUCUUUGAGAUAUAUUUUACAAAUUUUAAAAAUUAAUAGAAACUUACCAAUCCUAAUUUCUUAUUUUCAUGUAUUUGCACAUUAUAUCAGUCAUGUUAUUCUCAUUUUUAAUCUACAUAGUAGAUUUAUGCUGCAAUAUGUAGUUACCUUCCAUAUUUCCUAAUUUGGAAGUGUUUGAAUUGCUUAAAACGUGAGACUUUACAAAUGGUUCUGCUAUAUAUAUAUAUCUUUAUUCAGAUUUCUCUUUUGCAUACCUGCCUAAUAAUUGAAUGAAUGGAUCUAGGUCUAGAAGAGUGUCUAGCUCCUUUUACAUCAUUGCAGGUUUGUGUCUAGCAAAAUUAAACCAAUUUAUAAAUGUAUAAAUUCCACCAAUGGCAGUCAUAUAUGAAUGUAUGUCCCCUGGAUCCUCGCCUUCAGUGAUUUUUUUUAAAAAAUUGUCUAUUGUUUUGCUAGCUUAAUUAGCAUACAAAGAUACCUAAAAUUUGAAUAACUUUCAUUUAUUUUACUAUUAAUGAGUGUGUAUAUUGUGUUUGCCAUGGUCCCUUACUACUUCAUUUCUAUGAUGGAAAUCUACAGACCACAACCGUGAGUGAAGUGCUGUGUCAAGAUCAUAAAGAUGACCAGGGCAUCACUGGUACCCUCAAAGGGCACAUAGUAUAAAUGAAGGAUACAAACGUAAAAGGAAAACCACAACAAAAAAUAAGUUACACCAAAAAAAUUAAAUACUAUAUAGCAAUAAAAAGGAAUGAGCUGCUGACACGUGCAACAUCAGAUAAGAACUUCAGAAGCAUGAAGCUAGGCCCAGUCUGAAUACAGAAUUGAUGGAUCUUAGAAGUGAAAGUAUUCACAGAAUGUGCAUGGGCUCUCCAAUUAAUGAGACUGGAUUUGAAUACCUGCCCUCUCACCUAUCAGCUGAGUGACCUUAAGCAAGUCCUUCUACUUCAUAGAGCCAUGAUUCCAUCUAUUGGGAUAAAAACCAUGUCAGAGGAUAGCCAUGUGGAUUGAUUGUAACAAUCUAUUCAAUGCUAGACAGGACUACCUCUUUCGGAAAUAAUCAUGAAAACAAUAAGCAAACAACCUGAUAACAUUUACCCUUCUAAACAUUCUAGCUAAAUCAGCUAACUCACUUAAUCCUGUCAAAAACCUCAUGUGGGGGAUACUACCAAUAUGCCUACUUUACAGAUGGGGAAACUGAGACACAAAAAGGUGAAUUUCUUCAUUCAAGAUCAUGAAGAUAUGAAUUGAAUAACCUGGAUCUGAACCCAGAAUCCAUCCACGACAAUGCCUCUGAAUUUAUCCCCGUCUCUCCUUCAAGAAUAAGAAGGGGUAAACCGACAGUCUCAAAAAUUCAAAGUCAUACUGAAGGUCAUUAAUUGAAUCGGAGGCUAGGACCUAUAAGCCUAAGUCUGCCAAUCCUAUUCUAGUGCAAUUUCCCUAAGAAACAAAACACAGAUGAACAAGAGACAGAAUAAAGCACUGAAUAAAUGCAGACAGUGGGUUUUGAAUAAUGAAUGAGAACGUUUCACUACUGCUCUGUGGCUGUGAGGAGUCUGUUACAGUGACCAGUUAGCUGCUAAUUACUUAUUUUGAAAUAACCAUAUCAAGUCCUUACCCUGCUUAAGGAUCAAAUCUAUAAUACCCUGGAAAGACCCUAUCUCAGGAGCUCUAAAGAAGAGGAAAUCGUCUUCCAUACUGACACUGUGGCUUAUACUUUCUUUUUUGUUUUUGUUUUGAGAAAGGGUCUCUUUUUUCACCCAGACUGGAGUACAGUGGCACAGUCAUAGCUCACUGUAGCCUCUACCUCCUCGGCUCAAGCAAUCCUCUAGCCUCAGCCUUCUGAGUAGCUGGGACUACAGGUGCA
rnacentral:lncRNA from 10 species